CCUACGUGUGGCAGCAGUGAGGAAUAUUGGUCAAUGGCCGGAAGGCUGAACCAGCCAAGUCGCGUGAGGGACGACUGCCCUAUGUGUUGUAAACCUCUUUUAUAAGGGAAGAAUAAAUGCUACGUGUAGCAUGAUGCCUUUACCUUAUGAAUAAGCAUCGGCUAACUCCGUGCCAGCAGCCGCGGUAAUACGGAGGAUUCGAGCGUUAUCCGGAUUUAUUGGGUUUAAAGGGUGCGUAGUCGGUUUUUUAGGUUAGUGGUAAAACGUCGGGGCUUCACCUUGAUUUGCCAUUAAUACUGUAAGACUCGAGUUCAGACGAGGUAGGCGGAAUAAGUUAAGUAGCGGUGAAAUGCUUAGAUAUAACUUAGAACUCCGAUAGCGAAGGCAGCUGACCAGACUGCCACUGACAUUGAUGCUCGAAAGUGUGGGUAUCAAACAGGAUUAGAUACCCCAGUAGUC
rnacentral:rRNA from 1 species